AAUGAACGUUGGCGGCGUGGAUAGGCAUGCAAGUCGCGCGAGGAGUCAUUUAGCUUGCUAAAAGGCGGACAGCGGCGGAAGGGAGAGUAACGCGUGGUUAUGUACCCUCGAGACCGGGAUAGUGUCGGGAAACUGGCAGUAAUACCGGAUAACAUCUUCGGAUCAAAGGUGUGAUUCCGCCCUGGGAGGGGACUGCGUCCUACUAGCUAGUUGGCGGGGUAAUGGCCCACCAAGGCAACAAUGGGUAGCGGGUGUGAGAGCAUGACCCGUCUCACUGGGACUGGGACACUGCCCAGACACCUACGGGUGGCUGCAGUCGAGAAUCUUCGGCAAUGGGCGAAAGCCUGACCGAGCGACGCCGCGUGCGGGAUGAAGGCCCUCGGGUUGUAAACCGCUGUCGUAGGGGAGGAAGGCUCUGUGAAGAACAGGGUUUGACCUAUCCUAGGAGGAAGUACGGGCUAAGUUCGUGCCAGCCGCCGCAGUAACAC
rnacentral:rRNA from 1 species